rnacentral:rRNA from 1 species
UACGUAGGGACCAAGCGUUGUCCGGAAUCAUUGGGCGUAAAGAGCGUGUAGGCGGCCUGUUAAGUCUUGCGUGAAAUCUCGGGGCUCAACCCCGAGCGGUCGUGAGAAACUGGCAGGCUAGAGUGCGGGAGAGGAGAGGUGGAAUUCCUGGUGUAGCGGUGGAAAAUGCGCAGAUAUCAGAAGAACACCCGUGACAAGGCGGCUCCUCUGGAACGCAACU